rnacentral:rRNA from 3 species
GACGAAGGAUGCAAGCGUUAUCCGGAUUCAUUGGGUUUAAAGGGAGCGUAGGCGGACUUGUAAGUCAGUGGUGAAAUCUGUGGGCUUAACCCACAAACUGCCAUUGAUACUGCAGGUCUAGAGUACAGUUGCCGUUGGCGGAAUAUGACAUGUAGUGGUGAAAUACUUAGAUAUGUCAUAGAACACCGAUUGCGAAGGCAGCUAACGAAGCUGUAACUGACGCUGAGGCUCGAAAGUGCGGGGAUCAAACAGG